rnacentral:rRNA from 1 species
UACGUAGGCAGCGAGCGUUAAUCGGAAUUACUGGGCGUAAAGCGUGCGCAGGCGGUUCGUUGUGUCGGUGGUGAAAGCCCCGGGCUUAACCUGGGAAUGGCCAUGGAAACUGGCGAACUGGAGUGUGGCAGAGGGGGGUGGAAUUCCGCGUGUAGCAGUGAAAUGCGUAGAGAUGCGGAGGAACACGAUGGCGAAGGCAGCCCCCUGGGCUAGCACUGACGCCUCAGGCACGAAAGCGUGGGGAGCAAACAGG